UACAGAGGUCUCAAGCGUUGUUCGGAUUCAUUGGGCGUAAAGGGUGCGUAGGCGGCGCGGUAAGUCGGGUGUGAAAUCUUGGAGCUUAACUCCGAAACUGCAUUCGAUACUGCCGUGCUUGAGGACUGGAGAGGAGACUGGAAUUUACGGUGUAGCGGUGAAAUGCGUAGAGAUCAUGAGGAAGACCAGUGGCGAAGGCGGGUCUCUGGACAGUUCCUGACGCUGAGGCACGAAGGCCAGGGGAGCAAACGGG
rnacentral:rRNA from 1 species